AUGCACCCGGAUGGACGCACUCUCUUCGUGUCUUGUGGAAACAACCGUGACACACACCACCACACCUACUCCUUCGACACCAAGAACCAUAAAUGGAGGUCUCAUGGCGACUGGGUGUUGCCUUUCCGAAAUCAGGGCUACUUCGACGGCGAGCUGGACGCGUGGGUCGGCCUUCGCAAGGACGGCUACGUCUGCGCCUGCCGGGUGCCGUCCCGCAGCAGAACGCUCGCCGCGCAGCCGGACUGGAAGAUGGCCAAGGACGAGCUCUUCCUUGAGCACCCGGGGAGCCUGGGUGCCACCCUCGCGUACAUGGGGAACGCCAGGUUUUGCCUUGUGGAGACGGAAGAACUGGAGUUUGAUGGCUUCAUGCUCUAUAUCACCAUUUUUGGUCUCAAGUACAGCCAUGAGGGAGAGCUGCAACCCACCACCCGUCGCACCACCAAGUCAUGUCGAGUGGCUAGGAAUCUCCUGCAGUUUUCUCCCGUGGCGUUUUGGUUAUAG
rnacentral:rRNA from 1 species